rnacentral:lncRNA from 1 species
UGCUUGGGCUGUGCGUUGGUAGAUCACUAUGUCAGUCAGUUAUUGUAUCGUCCCCAAAAGAAUUCGCUCUCGUCAUGGAAGUGCAUUGUUAUAAGAUUCUCUAUGACGAUAUUUGUAACGCUGUUAUAUGUAUGUAAGCUGUGGAAUUAUUUAUCAGUAACGUUUUCAAAGAGCAGUUAUGAGUGGAAAAUAAUAUUGGAAAUUAAUGCACACAGCCUGAUAUACGCUAUUAUAAUGGUAAUAAGCGCUCAAUAUGCUUCCAUCGUGAUGUUAAUAUACAUCGCUCUUCUUGAUGUAAACACAGGUCUUACGGAGUUAC